GCGGAGGUUUCUGAUUCGUCUUGUUGUGAGUCCAAUGUUUCUGAAUUGGUGAAGGAAGUUAAACCUCGUUAUCCCAUUGCAGGUUCGAUGGGGGGUGUUCUAUGCCCGUGAACCUUACUUGAACGUUGAUUCUAGUCAUGUAACUCGCUUUCUUGGCCUUGCUCAAGUUGGAAACAAAAACAAACAGGUGUGUUCUUUGAUAGUUACUCUUGUCCUAAGAGCUUGGUACUUAUUGGUCACACCUAACACUCUUGGUAGUUAGCUUUAAUUUACUUAAGUGCUCAAUGCUUGGUAGAGUCUAGUAUCUUGGUAGUUAGCUUUAAUUAGGUUGUGAUGCAAGUAAUCUAUUAUUACAAGUUUUCAAAUUUUUGAAACUUAGAACCUUUAAUUGGUUCUAUCAUUGGAAGAUAUAAAACUAAACAAGUAUCUAAACUUUUUUAAUUUGAUUAUUUUCAAUUAAAAAUUUGUUUUAGAACUCUAAGACCAUAUCUAUUGUUGGAGAUGGUCUAAGAAAGGAAAAAACCUUGUGGUUUCUAAAAAAGUAUUUCACCCAAAAAGUAAUCAUAAAAAAAACAAAAAAUAUGAAAGAGAAUGUAGAAAAAUUUAGAACAGCUUAUUGUUUGAGAAACUAUGAAUAAAAGUUGAGAGAUUAGCUUUACAUUUGGUCCAGAAAAAUAAAAUUUAAUUAUAAUUUAGUUACUUCUAAAUAUUAAUAAAAUAAAAAAUUAUUUUGGAAAACUUAUGGUUGAUGAUGCUCUAAGAGUAACUUCAUUGGCAAGUUUCUCAAAUACAUCUCUUUCCUUUUGUUGGUUCAACUCGAUAUCGCGUGAUUACGCUGAGCCUCUCAACAAAGUGGCAACAUAUACUACAACUGUGAAAGAGGGCUCAUCAGGGAAGCCCGUUGUUGUUGCUGCUGCACCACCAAGGUCCAAGGAUCAAGAACGAGCUUUGAAACCAGUUAGAAAGUUUGAUCCAGAGCCAAGCGGUUAUACAUGGGACACGCUGAGGCUAAAGUGCUGAACAAGUAUUUCAAUGGAGCGCUGAACAAGUAUUUUGCCGAGCGAUAUGAUACGUUCCAGAGGAUUUAUCUAAGGGUCAGACUGGUUCAAACGCAGCGGUUGCAGUUGCGGUUGUGAGAGUUUACGGAUGCGGGUGGUUGCGGUUUCUAGCGGUUUUAAGAGAUUUGUACGACUGAUUAUGCGGUUAGAAAUUGGUGUGUUUGCGGGAUACUUACGACUGGUUAACUACCACAUAC